GUAGUCCUUUUCUUUAUAUUCUGCUGAAGGAGGUUGGGGAAAGCACUUCCUUUGUUCAUUUCCUUAUUCAGCAUUUUUCAGCAGUGACUUUGCAUCAGGGCCUUGGUAGGUGCUUGGAAACAGAAAACAAGUAAUGACCCUUCUCUGCAGGGCAGGAAGCCUAGACCAAAAGCUGGGUAAUGUGAUCCGAGCUACGGUAGCCAUUUGAAGACUCUGAGGACAAACUGUACCCCCGGAUUUGCUUGAGCUUCCCUUGCCUUCUGGUUGGUACACACCAGGUCACCACAACCCAGAUGGGCCUGCAGCCCACAGUACAGUAUGUACCUCGAUCUCCUCUCCCCUCUCGUCGGGGCCUGCAACAUGAGCAUCCCUGACUACGUGCAGUGUGCUGAGGACCACCAGACUUUCCCCAUGGUGGUCGAACACGUGGGGAUCAUUUCAGAGGAGAAUUUCUUUUGCAUCUAUAAGUGAAUCACCUUGGUGAGUCAGAUCAGUCCGUGCGGCUCCCAGUGGGCAAUCUGUAUCCACUACAGGCACCACUAUGCGCCCAAGAAUGGGUGGAGCGUCUUCCAGACCCACCGCAAGGUCUUGGGCCUUGUCAUCAUUACUGACUGCCUCUCGGCCAAGGUUUCGAGAAGCUCCACGUGCAGAGGAGCUGUAUGGCACCACGCUCUAUGACUCUCAGCUCUUUGACUUUCUGCUGCAUGGGGAGGUGGCCGAGCAGCCGCGCACCGAAGUGGCCUUCAAUUUACGAGGACUGCAGGGUGGUGGAGAAGAGGAUCGAGGACUUCACUGAGUCACUCUUCAUCUUGCCUAAGUCCAAGUGGCUGGACGGUGCAUCCGACAAUUUUGGGGACAAGAUCCUCCUUCUCUGCAUCCCAUUUGAGAAGGAGGACAUCAUGGGACUGGACACAGAAAGCAGUACGUUUUGGUUACUGAAUCCCUCGAAUUCCCAUAUGAAUAGUAGCAGCAGCUAGUCAGUUACUGCAGAGGAGCCCGCUGGGAUUGUGAUCGAGACCACGUUGAGUAUACAGAUCGCUCUGGGGAGCACUGCCAUCCCAAGAGCGCUGUCAUCUGAUCCAGGAAUGUGCGUGGUGUGUCUGUCCAGGGGAAAAGAGUACAAUUCAAAAAUAUAAAGAUUGUGAGCUAAUGAGAUAGACAAGACAACCGAACAUUUGUUAAAUAUCCUUUCAUGCCGGAAACAAAUGUAUUAUACACACAAAAAGCACACAAAUCACGGUAGUACUGCGGUUACAAACGUGGGUCCGAGUUCGAGUCCUGCUCUGGAGUUACCAGUCCUGUGAGAUGGAGAACUGGUAGGUCGGCUUAGCCUCUCCCGGACUUGUUUUCUGUCCUGCAGAGAUGGGGCUCGCUAGGCGUCCCUCUCCCGUAGAGGUGCUGUGGGGUGUAAAUGGCGCGCGUGGGCAGCCCGAGCACAGCUGCUCAUUCCUCGUAAGGGCAGGAUAGCAUCGCUUUUGCGAUGACAGCUUUAUGACCGUCCCGUGUAGACUCUUAGUGCUCCGAAGGGAUGCCUUGUGGUUUGGAGAUGGGAUUCUCACUUCUGUAAAUACCCAAGGAUUGUGUUAUUGGGCCGUGCUGAUUUGAAUCUAUUCUUUAGAAAGUACAUAUUGUAGAUAUAUUUUUCAAGCAUGCAUGCUUUUU